rnacentral:rRNA from 1 species
AAGGCAGCCUCGGGUUUGCCUAGGUAGGAUCUUUUUUUUCUCUUUUGAGAGAAAGCGCACUACCGGCCCGUCUCGUCCGCGUUGCGGUGAGGCGGCGCGAGAGCGUACACGUUGGGACCCGAAAGAUGGUGAACUAUGCCUGAGUAGGACGAAGCCAGAGGAAACUCUGGUGGAAGUCCGUAGCGAUUCUGACGUGCAAA